UUCCUCCUGCCGCCCCGUCCCAAUCCCACCUUCCCCUCCUCCUCCCUCCCUCCCUCCCUCCUCGUCCUCCUGCCCCGUUCCCGAGCCCCUCGCAGCCCGCGGGAGCAGCGGGGAUGGAGCCGGGACAGGUCGGGAUGGGCAGCGCGGGGCUCUCGGCUGCUCCCACCCGCUGGGGGCGGGGGAACCCAGCCCGGGGAAAAGGAGAGGGAAACUGGGAACAUUGGGGGCUGCAGAUCCAAACUGGGCCUUGCUGGGGACCCUGGCUGCGGACUUGCAGCCCUUGGGGCUCCUGUCGGGAUCCUGGAGAGCCGCGAGGGGGAACGCAGAGAGGGCUGGGGGAUGCCAGCAGUGGCACCACUGGCAGUGACUGGUUUGUACUGGGAUAACUGGAACCUUACUGGGGCCACUGGGAGUGACUGGGAAUGACUAUGCACAUGCUGAGGGCAGCUGGGAUAUACUGGGAGCGUCUGUCAACCAUACUGGGGUGACUGGAACCACACCGGGAACAACCAGGACCAUGCUCGGGAGAAAUGGGGCUAUGCUGGGGGUAACUGGGAGCAGCUGGGAGUGACUGGGUCUGAACUGGGGGUAACUGGGCAUGACUGGGAGCAUGCUGGGAGGAACUGGGAUCAUAUGGGGAGGGACUGGGACUGUACUAGGGACAACUGCACUGGGAUCCUACAGGAUCAUAUUUGGAGCAACUGGGACUGCACUGAGGGUGACUGGGAAUGGCUGUGAGACACUGGGUUCACACUGGAAGCAGCUCAGGGCAGAUGAGAGUGACUCACACUGGGAGAGAUUGAAACUAUAAUGGGGGUAAAUGGGAGCAACUGGAACCACACUGGAUGAUAAUGGGAGCAGCUAUGCCCAUGCUGGGGUCAUACUGGCAUCCUACUGGAACUGACUGGGAUCAUACUGGGAGUGACUGAAAUAGUACUGGCAAUAUCUGAGAGUGCCUGGGAUCCUACUGGAAUCAGACUGGGAGUGACUGGAAAGGUUCUGGCCGUGACUGGAACCAUACUGAAGUGACUGGGAGCAACUGGGCCCAGACUGGGAAUGACAGGGAGUCACUCGGCAUGAGUGGAAUAAUACUAGGAGUAUUUGGGAGUGACUGGGGCCAUACUGGAGGUGACUGGGAGCAACUGGGCCCAGACUGAAAUAAUUCUGGGAGUGACUCGGAUCAUACUGGGUGUGACUGGGUGCAACUGGGAUCAUUCUGGAAGUGACGGGAAGUGACUGGGAUUAUACUGGAGGCUACUGGGAUCAUACUGGCACUGAGAGGGAGCAACUGGGAUCAGGAUUGGGGAACCUGGCAUUAUACUGGGAGUGACUGGGAUCAUCCUGGAAGUGACUGGAACCAUACUGGGAGUGACUCUGGGUCCUAUUGGGAUCAUGCUGGGAGCCACUGGGAUUACAGUGGGUGUGAAUGGAACCUGACUGGGGGUUACUGGGAGCUACUGGGCUCAUGUUGGGAGGAAAACGAGGACACAUUGGGAGCAGCUGGGAUACACUGGAAGGUACUGGAACCAUGCUGAGGGGACUGAGACCACAACUGGGACAACUGGGACCAUACUGGGAGCAACUGGGACCACACUUUGGGACACUGACAGAAACUGGGAUUGCCCUGGAGGGGAAUUUCCUUGAAUGUUUCCAUUCAUCGCUACAAAGCAGAGUCACAAGUGGAGCUGAGCUUUCACCUUGAAAUGAGCGAAUCGAACGCGUGCGCUGGGAGUGCUGCAAACUCAAGGUGUUCCUUGAUCCUUUAAUCUUGCAAAUAUUCAGCCCCUCAGCAGCGAUGUCUCUGCCAGCCCACCGGUUUCUGUGUCAGACCUGACUCGGAGCUUGGAGAAGAAAUCCGAAGUCCCAUCACAACAACGCCUGCCGUCAUUUUCUUUUUUUCAUAGCCUUUGUUCUCCCCCCGGAGCUUUGUGGUGAGGUGCUGUCCCACCGGUUCUGCCCCGGAAACCAACGAAAUCAACCGAAAUAAUGAUGAAUUUUUGAACUCUU